rnacentral:lncRNA from 1 species
CAACAUCAAAAAGUUGGAGUCUUACCAUCUUCAUGUAACAUGUUCAAAAGCUGUCAAAAGCCAUGCUAACACCAAAAUUAAAACAAAAAAUGAUAAUGAAUCCAUCCAUCCUUCUUCACCAAUUCGUUAAUUUUUCCUUUUCCUUUUUAACUUUGCAUAUUUCAUUUUCUGUUGUCAGCAUUUCCUAUUCUUCUUAAAUCAUGUAUGCAUUAAGAAGAAAGAACAUAACUAGAUCUGCAUUAACAAAAAGAAAAUGGCGGAGCCAGAAAAAUUAUCUCACGUAGUCAUAUAUAUUAGAAAAUUGAAACUGAAGGUGAAAAAGAAAAAAAAAUAAAAAGUUGAGGACUUAAACAAAAAAAAACAAAAUGGGUCAAAAUGUAAAAUUUAGUGGGGUCAAUUCAUAAAACUUAAAUAAAUACAAAGCAGUUUUAUAAAUUUGGUGGGGUCUGCUGACCUCACUAUGUUGUGAAUAGCUCAACCUCUAACCAUUAACUAGUCAUUUUGCUUUUAAGAAAAUCAAUUUUUGGAAUAUUUUUUUAAGAAAUUAGGAAUAUCAUAAAAUCACUAAAACAUUUUUUAUUCUGAAAUAGCAUAUAAUUUAAAAAUAAAAAAUAUAAUUAAUCAAAACUUUUUAUAUUUAAACAUGGUUGUGAUUAUAGUUUAGAAGGUGGAUUAGAAUAAUCGUUUAAAAACUAGAUUAAUUUAAUUAUUUUAUAUUUAAUUAAUGUUGUUUUGAAGGUUUUUAUGUAUUAUUUUUAUUAUAAAAAUUUUAUGUUAUCAAAAUUUUUGAUUUUUUAAAGGUUAUUUUUAAAAAGAUGUAACUGAUUUUAAGAAAAGGUGUGAGAACAUUUUCUGGCAAAAGAAAAACAUUACAAUCAUUCAAUACGUACAUGUACUUACCUUCUGCCACGCCUUCUUAUCAAUGUCAACCAGAGACAGUGAUGAUUAAUCUGGCGUCAUAGCAGGAUUCCAACGUUUAGUUGACAAAGACAUCCAUCAAAUUGCUUAAAGGUGUUUUGAACAUGCCAAAUUAGUUAGAACAAACACCAUUAGAUUUGUUUGAUGCAAUGUAUGAUUACAAACCAAAAGUGCUUAUGCCAUCCAUCUUUGUUUGAAUUUCGUCUCUAAGAAUUAAC